AGAAGAGGCAGCACACUGGGUUGGGCAAGGUGCGGGGCUAGGGCUAACAGCAGUCUUACUGAAGGUUUCCUGGAAACCACACACAUGCUGUUGCCACUAACCUCAACCUUACUCGGUCCUGACCGGCUCGGCUUCUGUU
rnacentral:pre_miRNA from 14 species